rnacentral:rRNA from 1 species
GGGGAAAAAAUUAAUAAUUUUAUAAAUAAUAAAAAUAAUUUUAAUAUUAAAAUAGGGGGUUUUAGUAUUUAUUUUAGAAAAAAUUAUAAAAUUUAUAGAGAAUUAGUAUUGUAUAAGAAAUUUUAAAUAAUGUUGAAAAUAAAUUUAUUUAAAAGUAAAAUUUAUUUUUUGUAUCUUGUGUAUCAGAGUUUAUUAAAUAAAAAUUUUAGGAAAAAUUAUUUCUCGAAUUUAAAAGAGAUAAUUAAUUAAAAAAGUUAUUGUAGUAUAAAUAUUUUUAAUAAUUAAUUUGAAAUGAAAUGUUAAUCGUUUUUAAAUAUAUCUAGUUUUUUUAGAAAAAAAUUUAAUUUUAUUUUUUUUUUACGAAUUAUUAAUUAAUUAAUAAUUUGUAAAAAAAAAAAUUAUAUUUUAAGGGAUAAGCUUUAAAUUAAAUUUUUAUAAUUAUUAAUUUUAAUUAAAUUAAAAAUUUUAAAAUUUAUAUUGUUUAUAAUUUUUAAUUUAUUAUAAAUUAAUUUUAAUUAAAUUAAAAUUUUUUAAUAAUUUAAUUUUAUAUAAAAAAAUAUUUUUUAUUAAGAUUAUAAUUAGAUAUAAUGAUAAAAUUAGUAUUUAUUUAUAAAAAUUUAUUUUAAUGUAGAAAAAAUAAGUUAAAGGAAUUCGGCAAAAAUUUAUAUUCACUUGUUUAUCAAAAACAUGUCUUUUUGAAAAUAAUUUAAAGUCUAAUCUGCCCACUGAUAAUUUAUUAAAGGGCUGCAGUAUAUUGACUGUACAAAGGUAGCAUAAUCAUUAGUCUCUUAAUUGGUGACUUGUAUGAAAGAUUGGAUGAAAUAUAAACUGUCUCUAAUUUAUUUAAAGAAAUUAAUUUUUUAAUUAAAAAGUUAAAAUAAUUUUAAAAGACGAGAAGACCCUAUAGAGUUUAAUAAAUUUUAAAAUUAAAAUUAUUUAUAAAAAUAAUAAUUAAAAUUUUAAAAUUUAUUUUGUUGGGGUGAUAAAAAAAUUAAAUAAACUUUUUUUUAAUUAGAACAUUAAUAAAUGAGUUUUUGAUCCAAAAAUAUUUUGAUUAUAAGAAAAAAUUACCUUAGGGAUAACAGCGUAAUUUUUUUUUUUAGUUCAAAUAAGAAAAAAAGUUUGCGACCUCGAUGUUGGAUUAAGAUAAAAUUUAUAUGCAAAAGUAUAAAAUUUUGAUCUGUUCGAUCAUUAAAAUCUUACAUGAUCUGAGUUCAAACCGGUGUGAGCCAGGUUGGUUUCUAUCUUUAAUAAAAAAAAAAUAUUUUAGUACGAAAGGAAUAAGUAUUUAAAUUAGAUUUAUAUUUUAGAAUUUUAAUAAAAUAUUUAUAAAAUAAAAAAU